rnacentral:rRNA from 1 species
CCUACGGGAGGCAGCAGUGGGGAAUAUUGGACAAUGGGCGAAAGCCUGAUCCAGCAAUGCCGCGUGAGUGAAGAAGGCCUUCGGGUUGUAAAGCUCUUUUACCCGGGAAGAUAAUGACUGUACCGGGAGAAUAAGCCCCGGCUAACUCCGUGCCAGCAGCCGCGGUAAUACGGAGGGGGCUAGCGUUGUUCGGAAUUACUGGGCGUAAAGCGUACGUAGGCGGCUUUGUAAGUCAGAGGUGAAAGCCCACGACUCAAUCGUGGAACUGCCUUUGAGACUGCUUCGCUUGAAGAUGGGAGAGGUUAGUGGAAUUCCGAGUGUAGAGGUGAAAUUCGUAGAUAUUCGGAAGAACACCAGUGGCGAAGGCGGCUAACUGGACCAUUCUUGACGCUGAGGUACGAAAGCGUGGGGAGCAAACAGGAUUAGAUACCCUGGUAGUCCACGCCGUAAACGAUGAUAACUAGCUGUCGGGGCUCUUGGAGCUUCGGUGGCGCAGCUACGACAUUAAGUUAUCCGUCCGUCGGGUAGGUACGGCCGCGAACGGUUAAACGUAACGAAAGGAAGUAGACGGCGUGAGACGUCGCCGACGGACGACGACGAGGGAGUAG